GGUGUUGUUGCUCAGUGGUUGAGUGCUUGCCUCGUAUGUAUGAGGCACUGGGUUCAAUCCGCAGCACCA
rnacentral:tRNA from 1 species